rnacentral:lncRNA from 1 species
UUGCUGCCCUUCCUCUUCCCCAGGGCACAGAAACACUCUCCACUGCGGCCAAGGAUUGCAGGAGAGGUGGCAUCAGUGAUUCAAGACUUCUUUUCCUACCUCUUCAGUGUUUCUUUCAGUGAUCUGAAGUUAAAGCCAGGGGGAAUAUCACAGAAGUGAAGUGCAAUUCUCAUCAUGUCAUAUCAAGAGCACACACUAACAAACAACAUGACUUAUUGCUGAAUAUUGAACUUGAUCACCUGGCUGAGGUGAAUAAACUGACACUGGAACAUUCAGGAACUUCUUCAUGGUCAUGGUCACCCAGCUAGAGUGUGGAAGCCAGGCUGUCUGAUUCCAGGAUCUGUGUUCUUAAUCCUAUACAUAAGGAAGCCAUAAUGAGUCAACCACUAUUUUUAAGAUUCACAGAUGUUCGGGUCCAAUUCACCAGAAUGCCAAGUUAUACAGGGUUGUGGAAUCAAAAACUGCAAUUAGUAAUAAAAUGUGAUGCUAUC